rnacentral:rRNA from 1 species
UACGUAGGGGGCAAGCGUUGUCCGGAAUCAUUGGGCGUAAAGCGCGUGUAGGCGGCUUGGUAGGUCUGCUGUGAAAACUCGGGGCUCAACCCCGAGACGUCGGUGGAAGCCACCUGGCUAGAGUCCGGAAGAGGAGAGUGGAAUUCCUGGUGUAGCGGUGAAAUGCGCAGAUAUCAGGAAGAAUAUCCGUGGCGAAGGCGGCUCUCUGGGACGGUACUGACGCUGAGACGCGAAAGCGUGGGGAGCGAACAGG